AACAGCUUGAAAGAGGUGGUUCGGGAGGUGAUUUGAAACAACUUUUUCCUUAGCGAAAAUGUUGUCCGAGGCUUCGUUGAGGAGAUAUUCAUGGAAAACGCCGACCAAUCAGAGCGCGAGUAUAGCGGCGGAGGGCGGUCGCCUAGCUCGUAGUCCACGCCUACCACGGGCGGUCCAACAGCAUACGCGCGAUGUGAUUGGUCAAUGUUUUCCGUUAAUAUCUCCACAACGAAGCCUCGGACAAUAUUUUCGCUAAGGAAAAAGUUGUUUCAAAUCAUCUCCCGAACCACCCCUUUCAAGGUGUUACAAUUUUUUCGGGACACCCUGUAUUUUCAUAUGUUUGUGGGUAUCAAUACAAUAUUUUCGAAUUUUCUUAAUCUAAGCUUACGUGGUUGUUACGAGCCAGAGGGGGCUGCCGGCGUAGCCGGGGCUUUUCUAUUGGAAUAUGGUUUUUUUGUUAAUGGCUUGACCAGUGGUGUUAGGUAACACUGGGUACCUUGGGGAAGUAGACGCGGAUACGAACCUACGUAUGGCUAACGUAGGGAGCUUCAGGAGGUUGGUUAUCGAGGACAAAUCCACGUAUGGCUAACGUACGGAGCCUCAGGAAGGUGAUAUGCGGACGAACCCACGUAUGGCUAACGUGAGGAGUCGCAGGAAAUGUUAGUAUUAGGCCUCGUAACAGUUUUUGAUGUACCUCGAGCGGCAAAGGAAACGUGAAUGCAGCUUCCUAUUUAAGAUUUCUAGAAACAGAAUUAUCUAAUGUUUUAGAUGAAAUGCCAAUAGUACAAAAACAAAGUCUUUGGUUUCAACACGACGGAGCUCCUCCCCAUUUCGCUACAACAGUUCGUAACUGAUUGAAUAUUAAUUUUGAAAAUAAAUGGAUUGGCCGUGGCUAUUUAAAAGGACUAGUGUAUCAAACACCAGUAGAAGACGUAAAUGAUUUACGAACAAAAAUUAUGACUACAUGUAAAUCAGUAUCGGAGGAAAUUUUAAAAGCUGUUGAGAAACAAUUUUUAAGAAAAUUACAGAUGUGUAUUUCCAACGAUGGUGAGCACGUAGAAGGAUAAAAAAUUAUUGAACAAUACUUUGAUACGGACACAACCGACGCUGCUCAGCAGCGUUUGCUAGCUCUCAGCCGCUUACGUUAAGAAAAUUUUCAAGUAAUAAAGUAAAAUUACUCGUUACCUAUUAGGUUUAGGGCUAAUAAAGGUCAACACUUUUUUAUUUAGAAUUCGAUACUCUACUAUAUUCUUGUAUACAAAAUAUAGCAUUCCAUUUAAAAAAAUUACAUUGACCUCCAGAUCUCCUCUAUUACUCCACCCACAAAAAAAUAAUUAU